AGCGAACGCUGGCGGCAGGCCUAACACAUGCAAGUCGAACGAAGUCUUCGGACUUAGUGGCGGACGGGUGAGUAACACGUGGGAACGUACCUUUUGGUUCGGAACAACUCAGGGAAACUUGAGCUAACACCGGAUGAGCCCUUAGGGGGAAAGAUUUAUCGCCGAAAGAGCGGCCCGCGUUAGAUUAGCUAGUUGGUGAGGUAAAGGCUCACCAAGGCUACGAUCUAUAGCUGGUCUGAGAGGAUGAUCAGCCACACUGGGACUGAGACACGGCCCAGACUCCUACGGGAGGCAGCAGUGGGGAAUCUUGCGCAGUGGGCGAAAGCCUGACGCAGCCAUGCCCCGUGAAUGAUGAAGGUCUUAGGAUUGUAAAAUUCUUUUACCAGGGACGAUAAUGACGGUACCUGGAGAAAAAGCCCCGGCUAACUUCGUGCCAGCCGCCGCCGUAAAAC
rnacentral:rRNA from 1 species